AUUGAUUUUCAGGGUUAUGGUACAAACAGUUAAGGAAUUAGGGGCCAAAAAUAAGCAUUUUUGUAACUUCCAGACAUAACUUGUGUGUUAGUGUAUGGAUCUCUCUGACAUUGUACCACAAGGUUCCAUAUCACAAAUGGAAUGCUGGGAUUGAUUUUGGGGGUAAUUGCCUCAAAAUUUUAGGAACUAGGGGCCAAAAAAAGGGCAAAAAACAAGCAUUUUUCUAGUUUCAUGAUAAUAACUUGUGUGUAAGUAUAUGGAUCUUUAUGAAAUUGUACUACAAUGUUCCAUAUCACAAAGGGAAAGCUGGAAUAGAGUUUAGGGGUAAUUGCCCAAAACAUGUAGGAAUAAGGGGCCAAAAAGGGGCUAAAAAUAAGCAUUUUUCUAGUUUCCAGACAAUAACUUGUGUUCAAGUGUAUGGAUCUCUCUGAAAUUGUACUGCAAGGUACCAUACCACAAAGGGAAGGCUGGGAUUGAUUUUGGGGGUAAUUGCCAUAAAAAUAUUAGGAAUUAGGGGCCAAAAAGGGGCAAAAAACAAGCCUUUUUAUACGUCCGCAAAUCGUAUAUUGGUAUGACGUUGUUGUCCGAAGACACAUUGGUUUUCGCACUCUAACUUUAGUUUAAGUGAAUGGAUCCCUAUGAAAUUUUACCAUAAGGUUCAAUACCACAAAAGGAAGGUUGGAAUUGAUUUUGGGGGUUAUGGUACCAACAGUUUAGGAAUUAGGGGCCAAAAAGGGGCCAAAAAUAAGCAUUUUUAUACGACCGCAAAAAAAUUUUUGUGGUCGUAUAUUGGUAUGACGUUGGCGUCGUCGUCGUCCGGCGUCGUCGUCGUCGUCCGGCGUCGUCCGAAGACACUUGGUUUUCGCACUCUUAACUUUAGUUUAAGUGAAUGGAUCUUUAUGAAAUUUUACCACAAGGUUCAAUACCACAAAAGGAAGGUUGGGAUUGAUUUUGGGGGUUAUGGUAAUAACAGUAAAGGAAUUAGGGGCCAAAAAUAAGCAUUUUUGUAACUUCCAGACAUAACUUGUGUGUUAGUGUAUGGAUCUCUCUGACAUUGUACCACAAGGUUCCAUAUCACUAAAGGAAUGCUGGGAUUGAUUUUGGGGGUAAUUGCCUCCAAAUUUUAGGAAUUAGGGGCCAAAAAAGGGGCAAAAAACAAGCAUUUUUCUAGUUUCAUGACAAUAACUUAUGUGUAAGUGUAUGGAUCUUUCUGAAAUUGUACUACAAGGUUCCAUAUCACAAAGGGAAAGCUGGGUUUGAGUUUGGGGGUAAUUGCCCUAAACGUUUAGGAAUUUGGGGCCAAAAAGGGGCCAAAAAACACAUUUUUUUCUAGUUUCCAGACAAUAACUUGUGUUCAAGUGUAUGGAUCUCUCUGAAAUUGUACUGCAAGGUACCAUACCACAAAGGGAAGGCUGGGAUUGAGUUUGGGGGUGAUGAAUCAUAAUGGGGGUUCAAAAAAUUUUGGGGGGGGAUUUAUUUUUUUUCCUUUUUUUCUUUUUUUCCUUUUUUGUUUCUUUUAAAAUUUUCCAUUUUAAGUUGGUUAUUUCUGAUUUAUAUUUAAAAUCAAAUAAUAAUGAUAUGGUAGGAGAUACACACCAAACAGGAUGUGUAAAUUAUUAUAUAAUAAGUAUUGUGCAAUAGCAAGAAAUUUUCAAUUGCACAGUAUUGCACAAUAGCAAGAAAUCUUCAAUUGCACAGUAUUGCGCAAUAGCAAGAAAUCUUCAAUUGCACAGUAUUGCGCAAUAGCAAGAAAUAUCCAAUAGCACAAUAUUGCGCAAUAGCAAGAAAUUGUCAAUUGUACAGUAUUGCGCAAUAGCAAGAAAUAUUUAAUAGCACAGGAUUGUGCAAAAGAAGAUACUUCCUAUAAAUUGCUUAUUUCUUGACCAAUUUCAAUGGGGUUUUAUUCUUGAUUUCAUGGGGUUCUUUAAUAUGCUGAAUCUAACCAUGUAUUUAGUUUUUGAAUUUUAGGCCCCGUUUUUAAAUUGGUCCACAUUGAGGUCCAAAGGGUCCAAAAUUAAACUUUGUUUGAUUUCAUCAAAAAUUGAAUUAUUGGGGUUCUUUGAUAUGCCGAAUCUAACUGUGUAUUUAGAUUCUUAAAUUUUGGUUCCGUUUUCAAAUUGGUCUACAUUAAGGUCCAAAGGGUCCAAAAUUAAACUUAGUUUGAUUUUAACAAAAAUUGAAUUCUUAGGGUUCUUUGAUAUGCUGAAUCUAAACAUGUAUUUAGAUUUUUUAUUAUGGGCCCAGUUUUCAAGUUGGUCCAAAUCGGGGUCCAAAAUUAAACUUUGUUUGAUUUCAACAAAAAUUGAAUAUAUGGGGUUCUUUGAUAUGCUGAAUCUAACCAUGUAUUUAGAUUUUUGAUUUUUGGGCCCCGUUAUCAACUUUGUCCACAUUGAGGUCAAAAGGGUCCAAAAUUAAACUUUGUUUGAUUUCAUCAAAAAUUGAAUUAUUGGGGUUCUUUGAUAUGCCGAAUCUAACCGUGUAUUUAGAUUCUUAAUUUUUGGUUCCGUUUUCAAAUUGGUCUACAUUAAGGUCCAAAGGGUCCAAAAUUAAACUUAGUUUGAUUUUAACAAAAAUUGAAUUUUUAGGGUUAUUUGAUAUGCUGAAUCUAAACAUGUAUUUAGAUUUUUGAUUAUGGGCCCAGUUUUCAAGUUGGUCCAAAUCGGGGUCCAAAAUUAAACUUUGUUUGAUUUCAACAAAAAUUGAAUAUAUGGGGUUCUUUGAUAUGCUGAAUCUAACCAUGUAUUUAGAUUUUUGAUUUUUGGGCCCCGUUAUCAACUUUGUCCACAUUGAGGUCAAAAGGGUCCAAAAUUAAACUUUGUUUGAUUUCAUCAAAAAUUGAAUUCUUGGGGUUCUUUGAUAUGCUGAAUCUAACCAUGUAUUUAGAUUUUGGAUAUUGGACCAUAAUAGGUGAAUGUCCAAUUUAAAAUUUUUAAGUUCUUAGACCACAUUCAAUCUGUGUUAGAAACCUAUGCUGUGUCAAAUAUUUAAUCACAAUCCAAAUCCAAAGCUGUAUCAAGCUUGAAUGUUGUGUCCAUACUUCCCCCAACUGUUCAGGGUUCGACCUCUGCGGUCGUAUCAAGCUGCGCCCUGCGGAGCAUUUUAUUGUAACUUCCAGACAUAACUUGUGUGUUAGUGUAUGGAUCUCUCUGACAUGGUACCACAUAGUUCCAUAUCACAAAGGAAAUGCUGGGAUUGAUUUUGGGGGUAAUUGAUCGAAAUUUUAGGAAUUAGGGGCCAAAAAAGGGGCAAAAAACAAGCAUUUUUCUAGUUUCAUGAUAAUAACUUGUGUGUAAGUGUAUGGAUCUUUCUGAAAUUGUACUACAAGGUUCCAUAUCACAAAGGGAAAGCUGGAAUUGAGUUUGGGGGUAAUUGCCCAAAACGUUUAGGAAUAAGGGGCCAAAAAGGGACCAAAAAUAAGCAUUUUUCUAAUUUCCAGACAAUAACUUGUGUUCAAGUGUAUGGAUCUCUCUGAAAUUGUACUGUAAGGUACCAUACCACAAAGGGUAGGCUGGGAUUGAUUUUGGGGGUAAUUGCCACAAUAUAUUAGGAAUUAGGGGCCAAAAAGGGGAAAAAAACAAGCAUUUUUCUAGUUUCAUAACAAUAACUUGUGUGUAAGAAUAUGGAUCUUUAUGAAAUUGUACUACAAGGUUCCAUAUCACAAAGGGAAAGCUGGAAUUGAGUUUGGGGGUAAUUGCCCGAAACGUUUAGGAAUUGGGGGCCAAAAAGGGGCCAAAAAUAAGCAUUUUUCUAGUUUCCAGACAAUAACUUGUGUUCAAGUGUAUGGAUCUCUCUGAAAUUGUACUGCAAGGUACCAUACCACAAAGGGAAGGCUGGGAUUGAGUUUGGGGGUGAUGAAUCAUAAGGGGGUUCAAAAAAUUUGGUGGGGGGGAUUUUUUUUUUUUCUUUUUUUUUCUUUUUUUCCUUUUUUUUUUCUUUUAAAAUUUUCCAUUUUAAGUUGGUUAUUUCUGAUUAAUAUUUAAAAGCAAAUAAUAAUGAUAUGGUAGGAGAUACACACCAAACAGGAUGUGUAAAUUAUUAUAUAAUAAGUAUUGUGCAAUAGCAAGAAAUUUUCAAUUGCACAGUAUUGCACAAUUGCAAGAAAUCUUCAAUUGCACAGUAUUGCGCAAUAGCAAGAAAUCUUCAAUUGCACAGUAUUGCGCAAUAGCAAGAAAUAUCCAAUAGCACAAUAUUGCGCAAUAGCAAGAAAUUGUCAAUUGUACAGUAUUGCACAAUAGCAAGAAAUAUUCAAUUGCACAGUAUUGUGCAAAAGAAGAUACUUCGUAUAAAUUGCUUAUUUCUUGAUCAAUUUCAAUGGGGUUUUAUUCUUGAAUUCUUGGGGUUCUUUAAUAUGCUGAAUCUAACCGUGUAUUAAGUUUUUGGAUUUUGGGCCCCGUUUUUAAAUUGGUCCACAUUGAGGUCCAAAGGGUCCAAAAUUUAACUUUGUUUGAUUUCAUCAAAAAUUGAAUUAUUGGGGUUCUUUGAUAUGCCGAAUCUAACCGUGUAUUUAGAUUCUUAAUUUUUGGUUCCGUUUUCAAAUUGGUCUACAUUAAGGUCAAAAGGGUCCAAAAUUAAACUUAGUUUGAUUUUAACAAAAAUUGAAUUCUUGGGGUACUUUGAUAUGCUGAAUCUAAACAUGUAUUUAGAUUUUUGAUUAUGGGCCCAGUUUUCAAGUUGGUCCAAAUCGGGGUCCAAAAUUAAACUUUGUUUGAUUUCAACAAAAAUUGAAUAUAUGGGGUUCUUUGAUAUGCUGAAUCUAACCAUGUAUUUAGAUUUUUGAUUUUUGGGCCCCGUUAUCAACUUUGUCCACAUUGAGGUCAAAAGGGUCCAAAAUUAAACUUUGUUUGAUUUCAUCAAAAAUUGAAUUGUUGGGGUUCUUUGAUAUGCCAAAUCUAACCGUGUAUUUAGAUUUUUAAUUUUGGGUCCUGUUUUUAAAUUGGUCUACAUUAAGGUCCAAAGGGUCCAAAAUUAAACUUAGUUUGAUUUUAACAAAAAUUGAAUUCUUGGGGUUCUUUGAUAUGCUGAAUCUAAACAUGUGUUUAGAUUUUUGAUUAUGGGCCCAGUUUUCAAGUUGGUCCAAGUUGGGGUCCAAAAUUAAACUUUGUUUGAUUUCAACAAAAAUUGAAUAUAUGGGGUUCUUUGAUAUGCUGAAUCUAAACAUGUAUUUAGAUUUUAGAUUUUUGGCCCAGUUUUCAAGUUGGUCCAAAUUGGGGUCCAAAAUUAAACUUUGUUUGAUUUCAACAAAAAUUGAAUAUAUGGGGUUCUUUGAUAUGCUGAAUCUUACCAUGUAUUUAGAUUUUUUAUUUGUGGACCCCCUAUCAAAUUGGUUCAUAUUGAGGUCAAAAGGGUCCAAAAUUAAACUUUGUUUGAUUUCAUCAAAAAUUGAAUUAUUGGGGUUCUUUGAUAUGCCAAAUCUAACCGUGUAUUUAGAUUUUUAAUUUUGGGUCCUGUUUUUAAAUUGGUCUACAUUAAGGUCCAAAGGGUCCAAAAUUAAACUUAGUUUGAUUUUAACAAAAAUUGAAUUCUUGGGGUUCUUUGAUAUGCUGAAUCUAAACAUGUGUUUAGAUUUUUGAUUAUGGGCCCAGUUUUCAAGUUGGUCCAAGUUGGGGUCCAAAAUUAAACUUUGUUUGAUUUCAACAAAAAUUGAAUAUAUGGAGUUCUUUGAUAUGCUGAAUCUAAACAUGUAUUUAGAUUUUAGAUUUUUGGCCCAGUUUUCAAGUUGGUCCAAAUUGGGGUCCAAAAUUAAACUUUGUUUGAUUUCAACAAAAAUUGAAUAUAUGGGGUUCUUUGAUAUGCUGAAUCUUACCAUGUAUUUAGAUUUUUUAUUUGUGGGCCCGCUAUCAAAUUGGUUCAUAUUGAGGUCAAAAGGGUCCAAAAUUAAACUUUGUUUGAUUUCAUCAAAAAUUGAAUUAUUGGGGUUCUUUGAUAUGCCAAAUCUAACCGUGUAUUAAGAUUUUUAAUUUUGGGUCCCGUUUUUUAAAUUGGUUUACAUUAAGGUCCAAAGGGUCCAAAAUUAAACUUAGUUUGAUUUUAAUAAAAAUUGAAUUUUUGGGGUUCUUUGAUAUGCUGAAUCUAAACAUGUGUUUAGAUUUUUGAUUAUGGGACCAGUUUUCAAGUUGGUCCAAGUUGGGGUCCAAAUUAAACUUUGUUUGAUUUCAACAAAAAUUGAAUAUAUGGGGUUCUUUGAUAUGCUGAAUCUAAACAUGUAUUUAGAUUUUAGAUUUUUGGCCCAGUUUUCAAGUUGGUCCAAAUUGGGGUCCAAAAUUUAACUUUGUUUGAUUUCAACAAAAAUUGAAUAUAUGGGGUUCUUUGAUAUGCUGAAUCUUACCAUGUAUUUAGGUUUUUUAUUUUGUGGGCCCGCUAUCAAAUUGGUUCAUAUUGAGGUCAAAAGGGUCCAAAAUUAAACUUUGUUUGAUUUCAUCAAAAAUUGAAUUAUUGGGGUUCUUUGAUAUGCCAAAUCUAACCGUGUAUUUAGAUUUUUAAUUUUGGGUCCUGUUUUUAAAUUGGUCUAUAUUAAGGUCCAAAGGGUCCAAAAUUAAACUUAGUUUGAUUUUAACAAAAAUUGAAUUCUUGGGGUUCUUUGAUAUGCUGAAUCUAAACAUGUGUUUAGAUUUUUGAUUAUGGGCCCAGUUUUCAAGUUGGUCCAAGUUGGGGUCCAAAAUUAAACUUUGUUUGAUUUCAACAAAAAUUGAAUAUAUGGAGUUCUUUGAUAUGCUGAAUCUAAACAUGUAUUUAGAUUUUAGAUUUUUGGCCCAGUUUUCAAGUUGGUCCAAAUUGGGGUCCAAAAUUAAACUUUGUUUGAUUUCAACAAAAAUUGAAUAUAUGGGGUUCUUUGAUAUGCUGAAUCUUACCAUGUAUUUAGAUUUUUUAUUUGUGGGCCCGCUAUCAAAUUGGUUCAUAUUGAGGUCAAAAGGGUCCAAAAUUAAACUUUGUUUGAUUUCAUCAAAAAUUGAAUUAUUGGGGUUCUUUGAUAUGCCAAAUCUAACCGUGUAUUAAGAUUUUUAAUUUUGGGUCCCGUUUUUUAAAUUGGUCUACAUUAAGGUCCAAAGGGUCCAAAAUUAAACUUAGUUUGAUUUUAAAAAAAAUUGAAUUUUUGGGGUUCUUUGAUAUGCUGAAUCUAAACAUGUGUUUAGAUUUUUGAUUAUGGGACCAGUUUUCAAGUUGGUCCAAGUUGGGGUCCAAAUUAAACUUUGUUUGAUUUCAACAAAAAUUGAAUAUAUGGGGUUCUUUGAUAUGCUGAAUCUAAACAUGUAUUUAGAUUUUAGAUUUUUGGCCCAGUUUUCAAGUUGGUCCAAAUUGGGGUCCAAAAUUUAACUUUGUUUGAUUUCAACAAAAAUUGAAUAUAUGGGGUUCUUUGAUAUGCUGAAUCUUACCAUGUAUUUAGGUUUUUUAUUUUGUGGGCCCGCUAUCAAAUUGGUUCAUAUUGAGGUCAAAAGGGUCCAAAAUUAAACUUUGUUUGAUUUCAUCAAAAAUUGAAUUAUUGGGGUUCUUUGAUAUGCCAAAUCUAACCGUGUAUUUAGAUUUUUAAUUUUGGGUCCCGUUUUUUAAAUUGGUCUACAUUAAGGUCCAAAGGGUCCAAAAUUAAACUUAGUUUGAUUUUAACAAAAAUUGAAUUCUUGGGGUACUUUGAUAUGCUGAAUCUAAACAUGUGUUUAGAUUUUUGAUUAUGGGACCAGUUUUCAAGUUUGUCCAAGUUGGGGUCCAAAAUUAAACUUUGUUUGAUUUCAACAAAAAUUGAAUAUAUGGGGUUCUUUGAUAUGCUGAAUCUAACCAUGUAUUUUGAUUUUGGACAUUGGACCAUAAUAGGUAAAUUAAAAAAAUUGAAGUUCUUAGACCACAUUCUUUCUGUGUCAGAAACCUAUGCUGUGUCAAAUAUUUAAUCACAAUCCAAAUUCAGAGCUGUAUCAAGCUUGAAUGUUGUGUCCAUACUUGCCCCAACUGUUCAGGGUUCGACCUCUGCGGUCGUAUCAAGCUGCGCCCAGCGAAGCAUUUUAUUUGUAAAUUUUUGUAAUCUUUUACAAAAAUCUUCUUCUCUGAAACUACAGAGACAAAUUUAACCAUACUUGGCCAUAAUCAUUUUUAGGGUAUCUAGUUUAAAAAAAUUGUCUGAUGACCACGCCUUCCACCCAUCAUGGCCGACUUGGUUAAAAAUAGAACAUAGGGGUAAAAUGCAGUUUUUGGUUUAUAUCUCUGAAACCAAAGCAUUUAGAGCAAAUCUGAGAGGUGGCAAAAAUGUUCAUCAGAUUUAGAUUUAUCUGCCCUGAAAUUUUCAGACGAAUCCGACAGCCCGUUGUUGGGUUGCUGCCCCUAAGUUAGUAAUUUUACAGAAAUUUUGCAGUUUUUUGUUAUUAUCUUA